GUGUGACUGCGUACCUUUUGUAUAAUGGGUCAGCGACUUAUAUUCUGUAGCAAGGUUAACCGAAUAGGGGAGCCGAAGGGAAACCGAGUCUUAACUGGGCGUUAAGUUGCAGGGUAUAGACCCGAAACCCGGUGAUCUAGCCAUGGGCAGGUUGAAGGUUGGGUAACACUAACUGGAGGACCGAACCGACUAAUGUUGAAAAAUUAGCGGAUGACUUGUGGCUGGGGGUGAAAGGCCAAUCAAACCGGGAGAUAGCUGGUUCUCCCCGAAAGCUAUUUAGGUAGCGCCUCGUGAAUUCAUCUCCGGGGGUAGAGCACUGUUUCGGCAAGGGGGUCAUCCCGACUUACCAACCCGAUGCAAACUGCGAAUACCGGAGAAUGUUAUCACGGGAGACACACGGCGGGUGCUAACGUCCGUCGUGAAGAGGGAAACAACCCAGACCGCCAGCUAAGGUCCCAAAGUCAUGGUUAAGUGGGAAACGAUGUGGGAAGGCCCAGACAGCCAGGAUGUUGGCUUAGAAGCAGCCAUCAUUUAAAGAAAGCGUAAUAGCUCACUGGUCGAGUCGGCCUGCGCGGAAGAUGUAACGGGGCUAAACCAUGCACCGAAGCUGCGGCAGCGACGCUGAUGCGUUGUUGGGUAGGGGAGCGUUCUGUAAGC
rnacentral:rRNA from 1 species